rnacentral:tRNA from 1 species
GCGCCCGUAGCUCAAUUGGAUAGAGCAUCUGACUACGGAUCAGAAGGUUUCAGGUUCGAGUCCUGACGGGCGCGC